GUGAUUGCAGAAUUCCGCGAAUCAUCGAGUCUUUGAACGCAAGUUGCGCCCGAGGCUUGUCCAAGGGCAUUUCCGCUAGAGCGUCACC
rnacentral:rRNA from 1 species